AAAAAACAACGGAAAAACUUAGAGUACUACUGAAUUUAUUUUCGUUUAUUAUUCAGUGGGACAUUGUCUUUGUUUUUGUUUUUUGUUGCCGUUUUUUUUUUGUAAAUUGGGGAGUUAUUUAUA
rnacentral:ribozyme from 13 species